UUGCAGCCACAUCACAUUGAAACAUAGGGUCCUGUACAAUCACUGAAGUUAAGCAAUAUUGAGCCUGGUCAGUACCUACAUGAGUGACCACUUGGGAAUACCAGGUGCUGGA